rnacentral:rRNA from 1 species
CACGUAGGGGGCAAGCGUUGUCCGGAUUUAUUGGGCGUAAAGAGCUCGUAGGCGGCUUAGUAAGUCGGGUGUGAAACCUCCAGGCUCAACCUGGAGACGCCACCCGAUACUGCUGUGGCUAGAGUCCGGUAGGGGAGCGUGGAAUUCCUGGUGUAGCGGUGAAAUGCGCAGAUAUCAGGAGGAACACCAGCGGCGAAGGCGGCGCUCUGGGCCGGUACUGACGCUGAGGAGCGAAAGCGUGGGGGAGCAAACAGG